rnacentral:lncRNA from 1 species
UGCCGGGCACCGACGGCCCGCCCUCGGGAGCCCGCAGUGGGCCCGGGUGCGGCUCCUCACAUCCACAGCCCCGGGCACCGGACCCCGCGGGCCUGGCCCAAGGGCGCCGCUGUCCCCUCGGGGAAGCCCCGAAGCCCCGGACCUGGCAGCCCUUCCCGGAGCUGCGACGACCCACCUGGCUCCUCCUCCCCGAGCAGAGGCCAAACGUCAAGAUGGUGUAACCAAAGAUGGAAACAGCCUGGAUGUCAGGCGUGCUUGGAAGGGAGCUGUCCGGAAGAGCCACAGUACCUGAAGCCAACUUUGUGUGGGUGAAAAAGAAACUGUAAUGGGUUAAACCAAUAAAAGUUUUGGACUGUUUAUUUCUACA